GAUGAACGCUGGCGGCGUGCCUAAUACAUGCAAGUCGAGCGAACGGACGAGAAGCUUGCUUCUCUGAUGUUAGCGGCGGACGGGUGAGUAACACGUGGAUAACCUACCUAUAAGACUGGGAUAACUUCGGGAAACCGGAGCUAAUACCGGAUGAUAUUUUGAACCGCAUGGUUCAAAAGUGAAAGACGGUCUUGCUGUCACUUAUAGAUGGAUCCGCGCUGCAUUAGCUAGUUGGUAAGGUAACGGCUUACCAAGGCAACGAUGCAUAGCCGACCUGAGAGGGUGAUCGGCCACACUGGGACUGAGACACGGUCCAGACUCCUACGGGAGGCAGCAGUAGGGAAUCUGCCGCAAUGGGCGGAAGCCUGACGGAGCAACGCCGCGUGAGUGAUGAAGGUCUUCGGAUCGGAAAACUCUGUUAUUAGGGAAGAACAUAUGUGUAAGUAACUGUGCGCAUCUUGACGGUAACUAAUCAGAAAGCCACGGCUAACUACGUG
rnacentral:rRNA from 1 species